rnacentral:rRNA from 1 species
AGAACGACGCUGGAGGCGUGGCUAAGACAUGCAAGUCGAACGGUACGUUGUAGCAAUAUGGCGUAUAGUGGCGGACGGGUGAGUAAUGAAUAGAUAACGCACCCCGGUCUCAGGGAUACCACCGGGCGCAAGCCCUUUGCGAAAGUGGUGUUAAUACCUGAUGACGUUCCUGAGGGGCAUCCCUUGGGAAUCAAAGUGGGGACCUUCGGGCCUACUGGACUGGGAGCGGUCUAUUUCCUAUCAGCUAGUUGGUGAGGUAACGGCCCACCAAGGCUUUGACGGGUAGCCGGACUGAGAGGUUGUACGGCCACAUCGGGACUGAGACACUGCCCGGACAUCUACGGAUGGCUGCAGUAACGAAUAUUCCGCAAUGGGCGAAAGCCUGACGGAGCGACGCCUCGUGGAGGACGAAUUCCUUCGGGAUGUAAACUCCUUUUAGGGUUAAGCAAGCAAGGGUGGCUAAUACCCAUCUAAGUUGAGCUAUCCCAGAAAAAGCCUCGGCUAACUCUGUG